rnacentral:lncRNA from 1 species
AUAAAUCACAGUUUGAGCUUGUGUGUGGCACAGCAUCAGCCAGGGAUCCUUCCCUGGGGCCUACCCCAGAGAAAAACCCCAAACCAAAGUUUUUGUAUUGUUUCUCCUUCUCUUUUUGUUGUUUGGUUGUCUGGUUGGGAUUUGUUCUGUGGGUUUUGGUUUGUGUUGGUUUUUUCUUCCCCAUUUCUGUUUCAGGAAAACCCAGCCCAGAUUUCCAGGUGUGGCCCUGCUUGCUCAGGCUGGACAGAGGUGUAAUAUGUGUAUAUAUAUCGUUUAUAACAGAGGAGCUCCAGUUCUAAAUGAAACCUCAGAUAUCGUGGGAGCUGGAAACCCGAAACCCCAGAGUUUGUACCAAGAACCUGCUGGAUUGAGCAGUGGGGCUCUGAAUAUCCUCAUUCAUCUCCAGAAUCACCAUCAGCUGCCUCUGUGACUGCAGAGCCCCAGAAUUAUGGAAGUUUGCACAAACAGCCCCUCACACUGGGAAUUAAACCCCUUUUUCCUUGGUUUUGAGCACUCAUGGACGGAACUUCCAUCGUGUUUCACAGAUAACAAAAUCGCAUGUAAGGUUUGGUUCACAAA